UAUCUCGGCUCUUGCAUCGAUGAAGAACGUAGCGAAAUGCGAUACUUGGUGUGAAUUGCAGAAUCCCGUGAACCAUCGAGUCUUUGAACGCAAGUUGCGCCUGAAGCCAUUAGGUUGAAGGCACGCCUGCCUGGGCGUCACGCAUUGCGUCACCCACUCCCCCGUGCCUGAGCGGGCAUG
rnacentral:rRNA from 1 species